AUCCUUUUUUGAUUCAUAAGCAUGAUGAAUUAGGUGUCACAAGUUUGUGUGAUAUGUGCCUCCCUUAAAUCUUGCUACAAAGUCAGCACAUUUACCCUUCUGAUG